rnacentral:rRNA from 1 species
ACUCAAAUGAAUUGACGGGGGCCCGCACAAGCGGUGGAGCAUGUGGUUCAAUUCGAUGCAACGCGAAGAACCUUACCUGGGUUUGACAUGUACUGGAAGGCUACCAGAAAUGGUGCCGCCUUCGGGCCGGUACACAGGUGCUGCAUGGCUGUCGUCAGCUCGUGUCGUGAGAUGUUGGGUUAAGUCCCGCAACGAGCGCAACCCUUGCCAUUAGUUGCCAGCAUUCAGUUGGGCACUCUAAUGGGACUGCCGACGUUAAGUCGGAGGAAGGUGGGGAUGACGUCAAGUCCUCAUGGCCUUUAUAUCCAGGGCUACACACGUGCUACAAUGGGCGGCACAAUGGGCAGCGAAAUCGCAAGAUGAAGCAAAUCCCAUAAAACCGUUCUAAGUUCGGAUUGGAGUCUGCAACUCGACUCCAUGAAGCUGGAAUCGCUAGUAAUCGUGAAUCAGCACGCCACGGUGAAUACGUUCCCGGGCCUUGCACACACCGCCCGU